rnacentral:lncRNA from 10 species
GGAGAAGCAGGCUGGGUGUGCUCCAGGCUCCGGAAGCUCCAGCAGCCCCAGAGAUGAGGGUGGUCUGCCCCCCACACUCCCUGCCCCAGCCCAUCCUGGACCUUCUCCUGACACACAGCAAACCACACUUAGCUGUCAUUGAUGAAUCGGAGCCUCUGCCAGACAGCCGGCCAAGCCGACGCUAACUCACCCCACAGCCUGAAAUAGAAACUCGCUCGUUUUCCAGUGUGUGACAAAGAAGGAAGGACAUCAACUGGGAGUGGCCCAGAAGCCCGAAGCUGAGAGGACAAAGCUCACUGGGUCCUCCACAAUCUCUACUUUACCAAAAUCCAUGCGGGUGCAUCAUAAAGAGAGAUGCUUGAUGACCAAGUUGUUCUGGACAAAUCAAGGUGACAUGAAAUGGCCGUUCUAGUCUAUGCAAUGGCAGCAUGAACACAGAAAGCUGAAACGGGGGAUCAGUUCUGCAGCCAAGAGACAUUAAAGCUCAAAGAGAUCUUGCCUGGGAGUGAGGACUGUUGAUAUUGUAAAAAUGCACCACUCCUAGAAGGGAGGAACAAAGGAACUCGGUCCAAGAGCCUCUCUGAGACCUCUUCUCCCUUCUCUGUCAGCACAGGAAAAGAGAGUGGAGGGGCUGCUGCCCCAGGAAGGCUGGGCCCACCCCUCCUCACAGGCACCCUGAUGCCUGUUCAGCUUGGCUCUCUGGAUGACAGGCAGAAGCCCCAGUUGCUUCUCUUCUCCACGGUGAUUUCUGCAUACUUUAUCCAAACCCCCUCCCCACCGCUGUUCAGUUUCUGGCUCCUCUUCCUGCCCGUGCUCUGAGGCCAGCUGGGGGCCUCCCAGGUGACUCCUGCUGCUGCUGUCACUGGACCCUGACGCUGUGCCGCACCCGAAUUCCUCCGAAUGGAGCCUUGGCCAGAGCAAGGCGUGCCGUGUAGAGGAGCGGAUCUGAGCCUGGCAGGAGAUCGCUAAAACCUUUGCCCUUCACACAAACGCGGAAGCACGGGGCGGGUGCUGAAGAGCCAAGCAAGUGUCCCCCAUUUCCUUCCAAGGCAGAGCAGCAGCCCAGGGAGGCCCAGUUUCCAUCGCGGCAGAAGGGCAGAAGAGUGGGGGAGGUCCCAGGACCACAGCCCAGGGGACACUCAGGAUGCGCCAGGAAGGACAUGGCAGACAGGCCCUUUAGGUGGAAAAGCAACCCUCAGCUGCCCAGAGAGCGGCCCCUCCAGGCCCUCCCCGCCGUCUGCAAAGCUCUUCAGCUGGGAGAGGAGGAAAGGGUUUGUUCUUGACCUCCUUCCUUUCCUUUCUUCUCCACUGUCCACCAGAGAGCAGGAAGACAGGCUGAUGCUCUUGUUAAAGAUGAAGGCAUAAUUCACAUGCCAUAAAAUUCACCAUUUUAACCAUUUUAAGGUGCACAGUUCAGUGGUUUUGAGUGCAUUACAUUGUUGGGCAACCAUCAGCAUGGUCUAAUUCCAAAACAUUUCUGUCACUCCAAAAAGAAAUCUUGUACCCAUUAGCAGUCACUCCCCAUUUCCCCCUACCCCCCAGCCCCCCGGCACCCACGAAGGUGCUUUCUCUGUUUCGAGGGAUCUUCCUAUUGUGGCAAAUCCUCUGAAUGGAAUCAUACAAUAUGUGGUCUUCUGCCACUGGCUUCUUUCACUGACCAUAAUUUUUCAAGGUUCACCCACGUUGUAGCAUGCGUCAGCGCUUCAUUCCUUUCCAUGGCUGGACUGUAUUUCAUUGUAUGUCUGGACCACAUUCUGUUUCUCUAGUCAUCAGUUGAUUACUUACUUUUCAGGGCCCACUUAGCCUUUCUUCCCAAGGGCAGGGGCUCUGUUGUCCACUGUUUUGGAGUCUUCCAGCAGACUUGAUGGAGUGUACCAGUGGUUUCCUUGCUGGGCAAAUAACCAGAGGGUCCCUGGGUACGGGAAUCUCUGAGUCCUGAUCUUUGGCUCUGCUGCAGACCAGGUCACUGUAUGAUCUUUUAGCAGCCUCUUUACCUCACCUGGCCUCAGUUUCUUCAUCUGAAAAAUGAAGGGCUUGAAGCAGAUGGUCUCUAACACUUCUCCUGGCCCAACACUUUAAGAUGUUUCAGCAAAGCAGUGAAGAAGCAGCCUUCUGUGACCUUUCUGAACAAGGCAGAGGAAAGCAAGCUGUAGGCUGACAUAGUUAGGUGAUUCCAUAACAAAAUUGCGCUGUAAACAAUCAUCUGGAUCAAUCGACAGAAGGCACUUGCAACAGGUUCCCAGAUGACAGAAAACUAUAGGAAUGACAGGGAAGGAAUGAUGGGGCAGAUUAAAAUGGAGAAAUUUAACAGGGACAAAUGUAAAAGUCGGACAUUUUGCUCCAAAGUUCAACAGAACAGCUACCUGCUUUGUUGGAUAUGUUCAGGCAGUGUCCUUUAUAAGAGUUUGAUUGACUCUAAAUGAAUCUCAUUAUGAGUCACCAUUGGGACAGGCUGCCAAAAGGCCAAUGUGACUUCAGAUUAAAUCAAUAGAGGUCUACUGGCUGAAACAAGGGAGGUGACAUUAUUGAGUCCAUCCCUGGUGUAUGUAGCUGCUACCCUCUGAGAAGGAGGCCCCCAAUAGGAAAAGCCAGAGGGAGGAUGGAUAAGACAUGAAGAGCUCUAGAACCAUGGUUUGGUAGUAGGAGGGGCUCAGGGUUUGGGUCUUUAAAAGAUAAGACAGAGAGUGCUGUUCACAUCUGUGAAGGAACAUGGCAUGAGAAGGGGAGUUGACUUCCACCAUGGGGACCUGCAGGGUGACUGGGGCUGGAAGAUGAUCAAUUGUGACCCAGGACCAGGAAGAACUUCGCAGCAACAAAAGUCACAGGAAAUGGAAAAAACUCCUGGUGAAGAACACAG